CCUACGGGUGGCUGCAGUGGGGAAUAUUGGACAAUGGGGGGAACCCUGAUCCAGCCAUGCCGCGUGUGUGAAGAAGGCCCUCGGGUUGUAAAGCACUUUCAGUGAGGAAGAACGCCUGGUGGUUAAUACCCAUCAGGAAAGACAUCACUCACAGAAGAAGCACCGGCUAACUCCGUGCCAGCAGCCGCGGUAAUACGGAGGGUGCGAGCGUUAAUCGGAAUUACUGGGCGUAAAGCGCGCGUAGGUGGCUUGAUAAGCCGGUUGUGAAAGCCCCGGGCUCAACCUGGGAACGGCAUCCGGAACUGUCAAUCUAGAGUGCAGGAGAGGAAGGUAGAAUUCCCGGUGUAGCGGUGAAAUGCGUAGAGAUCGGGAGGAAUACCAGUGGCGAAGGCGGCCUUCUGGACUGACACUGACACUGAGGUGCGAAAGCGUGGGUAGCAAACAGGAUUAGAUACCCUGGUAGUC
rnacentral:rRNA from 1 species